rnacentral:rRNA from 1 species
GUACACAAAAAUGCACAUGCUGUGAGCUCGAUGAGUAGGGCGGGACACGUGGUAUCCUGUCUGAAUAUGGGGGGACCAUCCUCCAAGGCUAAAUACUCCUGACUGACCGAUAGUGAACCAGUACCGUGAGGGAAAGGCGAAAAGAACCCCGGCGAGGGGAGUGAAAAAGAACCUGAAACCGUGUACGUACAAGCAGUGGGAGCACAGAGCAAUCUGUGUGACUGCGUACCUUUUGUAUAAUGGGUCAGCGACUUAUAUUCUGUAGCAAGGUUAACCGAAUAGGGGAGCCGAAGGGAAACCGAGUCUUAACUGGGCGUUAAGUUGCAGGGUAUAGACCCGAAACCCGGUGAUCUAGCCAUGGGCAGGUUGAAGGUUGGGUAACACUAACUGGAGGACCGAACCGACUAAUGUUGAAAAAUUAGCGGAUGACUUGUGGCUGGGGGUGAAAGGCCAAUCAAACCGGGAGAUAGCUGGUUCUCCCCGAAAGCUAUUUAGGUAGCGCCUCGUGAAUUCAUCUCCGGGGGUAGAGCACUGUUUCGGCAAGGGGGUCAUCCCGACUUACCAACCCGAUGCAAACUGCGAAUACCGGAGAAUGUUAUCACGGGAGACACACGGCGGGUGCUAACGUCCGUCGUGAAGAGGGAAACAACCCAGACCGCCAGCUAAGGUCCCAAAGUCAUGGUUAAGUGGGAAACGAUGUGGGAAGGCCCAGACAGCCAGGAUGUUGGCUUAGAAGCAGCCAUCAUUUAAAGAAAGCGUAAUAGCUCACUGGUCGAGUCGGCCUGCGCGGAAGAUGUAACGGGGCUAAACCAUGCACCGAAGCUGCGGCAGCGACACUAUGUGUUGUUGGGUAGGGGAGCGUUCUGUAAGCCUGUGAAGGUGUACUGUGAGGUAUGCUGGAGGUAUCAGAAGUGCGAAUGCUGACAUAAGUAACGAUAAAGCGGGUGAAAAGCCCGCUCGCCGGAAGACCAAGGGUUCCUGUCCAACGUUAAUCGGGGCAGGGUGAGUCGACCCCUAAGGCGAGGCCGAAAGGCGUAGUCGAUGGGAAACAGGUUAAUAUUCCUGUACUUGGUGUUACUGCGAAGGGGGGACGGAGAAGGCUAUGUUGGCCGGGCGACGGUUGUCCCGGUUUAAGCGUGUAGGCUGGUUUUCCAGGCAAAUCCGGAAAAUCAAGGCUGAGGCGUGAUGACGAGGCACUACGGUGCUGAAGCAACAAAUGCCCUGCUUCCAGGAAAAGCCUCUAAGCAUCAGGUAACAUCAAAUCGUACCCCAAACCGACACAGGUGGUCAGGUAGAGAAUACCAAGGCGCUUGAGAGAACUCGGGUGAAGGAACUAGGCAAAAUGGUGCCGUAACUUCGGGAGAAGG